rnacentral:rRNA from 1 species
AACGAACGCUGGCGGCGCGUCUUAAGCAUGCAAGUCGAACGGCAAGAGAGAAGCUUGCUUCUCUCCUAGAGUGGCGGACUGGUGAGGAGCACGUGGGUAAUCUACCCUUAAGAUGGGGAUAGCUGUUAGAAAUAGCAGGUAAUACCGAAUAGGCUCAGUGCUUCAUAAGAGGCGUUGAGGAAAGGGAGCUACGGCUCCGCUUGAGGAUGAGCUUGCGUCCCAUUAGCUAGUUGGUGAGGUAAAGGCCCACCAAGGCGACGAUGGGUAUCCGGCCUGAGAGGGUGAUCGGACACAUUGGGACUGAGAUACGGCCCAAACUCCUACGGGAGGCAGCAGCUAAGAAUAUUCCGCAAUGGACGAAAGUCUGACGGAGCGACGCCGCGUGGAUGAAGAAGGCUGAAAAGUUGUAAAAUCCUUUUGUUGAUGAAGAAUAAGGGGAAGAGGGAAUGCUUCUCUGAUGACGGUAAUCAGCGAAUAAGCCCCGGCUAAUUACGUGCCAGCAGCCGCGGUAACACGUAAGGGGCGAGCGUUGUUCGGAAUUAUUGGGCGUAAAGGGCAUGUAGGCGGCUAUGUAAGCCUGAUGUGAAAUCCUGGGGCUUAACCCUAGAAUAGCAUUGGGUACUGUGUAGCUUGAAUUACGGAAGGGAAACUGGAAUUCCAAGUGUAGGGGUGGAAUCUGUAGAUAUUUGGAAGAACACCGGUGGCGAAGGCGGGUUUCUGGCCGAUAAUUGACGCUGAGAUGCGAAAGUGUGGGGAUCGAACAGG